GGGUUGUUAUUAUAAUGAACCUGGUCAGGCGGGGAACCGAGCAGCCAUAAGUUAUAGUAAACAACAGGC
rnacentral:SRP_RNA from 1 species